UACGUAGGGUGCGAGCGUUGUCCGGAAUUAUUGGGCGUAAAGAGCUCGUAGGCGGUCUGUCGCGUCGGCUGUGAAAACCCGGGGCUCAACCCCGGGCCUGCAGCCGAUACGGGCAAGCUAGAAUUCGGUAGGGGAGACUGGAAUUCCUGGUGUAGCGGUGAAAUGCGCAGAUAUCAGGAGGAACACCGGUGGCGAAGGCGGGUCUCUGGGCCGAUAUUGACGCUGAGGAGCGAAAGCGUGGGGAGCAAACAGG
rnacentral:rRNA from 1 species